GCCUCCGUAGCUCAGGGGAUAGAGUAGGGCACUCCUAACGCUCUGGUCGCAGGUUCGAAUCCUGCCGGGGGCACCA
rnacentral:tRNA from 1 species